UUUCUGCCAUGAUGAGCUGCAUGUUUUGUCCGUGUUUCACCUGAUUGCCCUGAUUAUACACAUGCCCUGAGCAGCCA
ensembl:snoRNA